rnacentral:misc_RNA from 1 species
CAGCAAUUGCUGGCCUAAUGUUUGUUUGGGCUAUGUAUGAUCGAUACUUCCCUUACCAACUUCGAGGCUACGUUGAGAGAUAUAGCCAUAAGCUGGUGGCUCUCGUAUUCCCUUAUUUCCAAAUCAUCUUCGAUGAGUACACCGGCGAAGACAUGAUGCGUAGCGAGGUCUACGCCGCCAUUCAGAGCUACCUCAGCGCCAACUCCUCCAUGCGAGCCAAGAGGCUCAAGGCUGACGUUGUCAAAGAUAGCCAGUCUGUUCUUCUCACCAUGGAUGAUCACGAAGAAAUCACAGAUGAUUUCAAUGGGAUUAAGGUCUGGUGGACUUCAAUAAAAAAUAAUCCCAAUAAACAAUCAUUUUCUUUCUAUCCUGAAUUGGAUGAGAGGAGAUAUUUCAAGCUCACGGUCCAUAGACGUUACAGAGAAAUCAUCGUCAAGUCUUAUAUCGAUCAGGUUAUUAAAGAAGGAAAGGCUGUUGCUGUCAAGAAUCGGCAAAGAAAACUCUAUACCAACAAUCCCAGCAAGAAUUGGUAUGGAUGGAGAGCCACCAAGUGGAGCCAUGUGGCGUUUGAGCAUCCUGCGAGUUUCGAUACUUUGGCAAUG